UACGGAGGGUGCAAGCGUUGUUCGGAAUCAUUGGGCGUAAAGCGCGCGCAGGCGGUCGCUUAAGUCGACCUGUGAAAGGCCGGGGCUCAACCCCGUGCUUGCAGGCCAUACUGGGGGACUGGAGACAGGUAGAGGCAAGCGGAAUUUCGGGUGUAGCGGUGGAAUGCGUAGAGAUCCGAAAGAACACCGGAGGCGAAGGCGGCUUGCUGGACCUGUUCUGACGCUGAGGCGCGAAAGCGUGUGGAGCGAACCGG
rnacentral:misc_RNA from 1 species